ACUACAAUUCUACAAUCUGCUCCUUGGUCCGCACCUCCGGCCUUAGCCACCAACAGCAAAGUUCCCACAGUUGGCUGAAAGCUUCCCGGGGCCCAGCCACCUCCUGGUAAUGGAAUCUUCUGAAGCGCUGCCGCAAACUUUCAGAGUUAGUGCCCUUUCCUCUCCGAGUGGAUUUGGCCAUCCUUAACAGCAGAAAGCAGUUUCUCCCCUCAGUGUCUGGGUUCCAGAACUUAGUACACUAUCUUUCCAUGCCCCUGGAGAAACACCUGCAGAUGAGUCUCUCUGUAAAAGGAGUUUUAUCCUAGAGUAGAGAGAAAUGGCACUAUCAGAGAAGAGUAUCUUUACAUGUUUAAAAUCUUGCCAGAGCCGGCCUGACUUUCCAUGUGUUCCAAGUGGCCUUCGGAGGCAGUACCAUUUCAGGACAGCAAAUCAAUGAGCAAGGAGAAAAAUUACCUUAUAAAAACUGCAUUUCUAGGUGAUGUCUAGAAUAUCCCCCAGGAAGUUGCAGAGAACAGAAAAAUCUAUCCGCUUCAUUCACACCUCACGUAAAUCUGAUCGUAUAUAGUGCCCCAGAUCAAAGUUGUAUAGUGAAUUCGAACCGCACAGGACGCCUGACGCUGGCGGACUCUAAAGCUAAGUCAACAUUUAGCUGAAGACAACAAAAAUCCUCUGUCCAGUGAGUGCCGGCUAACCUCCCCUAGAACCACCGCUGUCCUUCCAGAAGCUCCUGGUGUCUGCCCCGCCCCUUGAACGCCAAACUACAAACUUCCAACCGGAACCACAGUCAAGUGCUGAACACUGAGUCUCUUGCUUGCUCCUCCUGAACGAAGUAAGAACUCAGCAAGAGUUCCGGAGCGACAGAUGGAAAAGGUCACACAUGGGGAAAGCUGACUUAGGCUUCUAAAUUGAGGUGGACUAGGGAAGAGUUACAGGAGUUGGUGAAGCGAGGAAGCCCGAGAGACGGCAGUCGUGGGUCUGCUGAGAACAAGGCCGGUGCUGGCCAGUGUUGGCCAGUGCUGCGAGUCCGUGGGCUUCGAGCACAGCUCCACAGCGGCGGCUGCCAAGUUCCGGCUUUGUUUUCUUCCCUCUGGCCGGGUCACUCUGGGAGACGUCGGCAGUCGGUCAAAAUGCCAUAGACCCUGCCAAGGCGUCAUGAGGACUCUCUCCGGCCCACCCCUGGCCGCGUCUCUCUCAACUAGCUUGUCAACUCACUCGCCGCCCUUCCCUUGGGCCAGCCUCUCUUAACAUCCCCAGUCCCGCUCUCGAGCCGGAAGUCUGGCCUCUCCUAGCGCCCAGGACGCAUGCGCGAUGUUACCGGCGCCUCACCACGGCUCCGCGGCGGGAGCAAACGGGUGGGCGCCUCAGCCGCGCGCAGCGUCCCGGAUGUGCGCGCGGCUCUGUGGAAUGUCCUCGCUCGGUGGACUGCGGGGAUCCAGGGCAAAAGAUUCACGCUACGUGUGAGCGGGCGCCCGCAGAGGCGCUGGAAGAGAAGGUGGUAGAUCUAGGGACUCCGGAGCCGCCCCAGAAAUGAUUCACGAGCUGCUCUUGGCCCUGAGCGGGUACCCAGGGUCCAUUUUCACCUGGAACAAGCGGAGUGGCCUGCAGGUUUCCCAGGAUUUUCCAUUUCUUCACCCGAGUGAGACUAGUGUCCUGAAUCGACUCUGCCGGCUUGGCACAGACUACAUUCGAUUCACUGAGUUCAUUGAGCAGUACACAGGCCAUGUGCAGCAACAGGAUCACCAUCCAUCCCAGCAGGGCCAAGGGGGACUACAUGGGAUCUACCUGAGAGCCUUCUGCACGGGGCUGGACUCAGUUUUGCAGCCUUAUCGCCAAGCACUGCUUGAUUUGGAACAAGAGUUCCUGGCUGACCCGCAUCUCUCCAUAUCACAUGUCAAUUACUCCUUAGAUCAGUUCCAGCUCCUUUUCCCCUCUGUGAUGGUUGUAGUGGAGCAAAUUAAAAGCCAAAAGAUUCAUGGCUGUCAAAUCCUGGAAACAGUUUACAAACAUAGCUGCGGGGGCUUGCCUCCAGUUCGAAGCGCAUUAGAAAAAAUCCUGGCUGUAUGCCAUGGAGUCAUGUAUAAACAGCUCUCGGCCUGGAUGCUGCAUGGACUGCUCUUGGACCAGCACGAAGAGUUCUUCAUUAAACAGGGUCCAUCUUCUGGUAAUGUCAGUGCCCAGAUGGAAGAGGAUGAGGAAGAUCUGGGCAUUGGAGGCCUGACAGGAAAACAACUGAGAGAACUGCAGGACCUGCGCCUAAUUGAGGAAGAGAAUAUGCUGGCCCCAUCUCUAAAGCAGUUUUCUCUGAGGGUAGAGAUUUUACCAUCCUACAUUCCAGUGAGAGUUGCUGAAAAAAUCCUCUUUGUUGGAGAAUCUGUCCAGAUGUUUGAGAAUCAAAAUGUGAACCUGACAAGGAAAGGGUCCAUCUUGAAAAACCAGGAGGACACUUUUGCUGCCGAGCUGCACCGGCUCAAGCAGCAGCCACUCUUCAGCCUGGUGGACUUUGAGCAGGUGGUAGAUGGGAUUCGUAGCACUGUGGCUGAGCACCUUUGGAAGCUAAUGGUGGAAGAGUCAGAUUUACUGGGUCAGCUAAAGAUCAUUAAAGACUUUUACCUUCUGGGACGAGGAGAACUGUUCCAGGCCUUCAUUGACACAGCUCAACACAUGUUAAAAACACCACCCACUGCAGUGACAGAGCAUGAUGUGAAUGUGGCCUUUCAGCAGUCAGCACACAAGGUGCUGCUAGACGACGACAACCUUCUCCCUCUGCUGCACUUGACGAUUGAGUAUCAUGGGAAGGACCACAAAGCAGAUGCCACCCAGCCAAGAGAAGUGCCUUCUCGGGAAACAUCUCCCCGGGAACCUCCUUCUUCCGGCUGGGCUGCUCUAGGGCUUUCCUACAAAGUACAAUGGCCACUGCACAUUCUCUUCACCCCAGCUGUCUUGGAAAAGUACAAUGUUGUCUUCAAGUACUUACUCAGUGUGCGUCGUGUCCAAGCUGAGCUGCAGCACUGCUGGGCACUCCAGAUGCAGCGCAAGCACCUCAAAUCCAACCAGACCGACGCAGUCAAGUGGCGCCUAAGGAACCACAUGGCCUUCUUGGUAGAUAAUCUGCAGUACUAUCUCCAGGUAGAUGUGCUGGAGUCUCAGUUCUCACAGCUGCUUCAUCAGAUCAACUCCACGAGGGACUUUGAAAGCAUCCGAUUGGCGCAUGACCACUUCCUAAGCAAUUUGCUGGCCCAGUCCUUUAUUUUGCUGAAGCCUGUGUUUCACUGCCUGAAUGAGAUCCUAGAUCUCUGUCACAGUUUUUGUUCACUGGUCAGUCAGAACCUGGGUCCACUGGAUGAGCGGGGAGCUGCCCAGCUGAGCAUUCUCGUGAAGGGCUUUAGUCGCCAGUCUUCACUCCUGUUCAAGAUCCUUUCCAGUGUUCGGAAUCACCAGAUCAAUUCAGAUUUGGCGCAGCUACUGCUCCGGCUAGACUAUAACAAAUAUUAUACCCAGGCUGGUGGGACUCUGGGCAGUUUUGGGAUGUGAAAACUCAGCUUCAUAAAAUGAAGCAGCAGUCAGCCCUACCACGUUCUGAUGUCUGUAACAAACCUCUCUAGUCAUUCAUCAAAUGCCUGCAGACUGCUGAAAGGGUCUUCUAGAAGAAGUCCAGAGCUAUUGGUGAUUAGACAUGGGUUUACUGAUGUAUGUGAGGAGCUGAGCACCUGCGUCACUCAAUCGUCAGUCAGCGUCAUUCAGCUUUCCGGACUGUGCCAAGCAACAAACAUCUAGGUACAACUGCCUCAUGCAGUCUGGUUUCAAGGGCUCAGGUGAAAAGCAAAACCAUCUUUACUCCCUAGUGCAGCUCCCGGAUCACUUUCCCAUGUCCUGUACGUGUUUCCAUGGCUGUAACUAGUGAGCAGAGUCGUCAUACAUCUUCUGUCAGCUAUACCAUUUUAUGACAAUCACAUUUUCCUCGUUUUAAUUCCUUUUUGCAAGACUCAACAUUAGUCAGAACUCUUUAACUUGCAAAAUAAUAAUCUAGUUCUCAAGCUUGGAGAAGAUCUCUGGAGACUAUUGUCACUCACUGUGUACAUUUGAUCUACACAUUCUCUACCACACAUUUGUCAGACCUCUGAAAUAUAUUCUACCACAUGACCAUAGACUUCACCUAGACACAAAUUAAUGUCAUAGUCAUUAUGCCAUAAAUGUGGCAACAGACUUAUUUUAAUGAAAGGUCCAAGAAUAGGUCUAGAAAAACUAAUUUUUCCCAAACUAUCCUGGGACACUGGAGAUACCACAAUUCCUUUCUUAAACUCAGAAUGAAAUGCAUCCUCGACACGAGUUUUCUUAAGUAGAUGCUAGAGCAUAAAUGGGGAAGGUGGCUGGACAUCAGGAGCCUGUUGGACGUGGAUAGUUAUAGGAAGGUAAAGGCAGCACUGUGUCUAUUACAAGUCUGUCAUUGUUGGACCUAUUUAACUCUGAUAGACUGACAGAUUUUUAUCAUUUAUUUUAUGUAAGAAGGAGACUCUCUCCCUAGGCCACCAAGAUGUCCCGGUAGGCAAAGGCUGCCAAACCUGGUGACCUGAGUUUGAUCCCCUGGGACCCCUUACCUUAGGAGGAAGAAUAACACUCUUCCAAAUCAUCCCAUGACUACCACACAUAUGCACACAUACAUACACAUCCAUGCAUAAAUCUAUAUACAGUAUACACCUGUAUCUAUGUAGUAUGUAAAUAAACAAAGAUAAAUAUUUCUCAGUCGUGUAUCGUUGACCACUCUCUGAGAACAAUUUUGUAUAAGUCUACAAACCAGAGAUAGGGUACAAGUUAAUUUUACUUGACCAGAAUCACAGUUACUAGCUGGCUGGUGCACUGCUCUACCUGAACGAAAGUAUCUCUUCACAAAGUAAAUAGAAAGAGUGCAUAGGUCAGCAUCCCUGGAGACUCACCCUCCUCUUCUUCGCUGCUUCCUGUAGGACCAUCUAGCAGCUUAGAGCGGCUGGCCAGCUUGUCACUAGUUGUAGCCAUGGUGAGGAGAAAGGCAUAGCCCAGAAACAAGGUCUUGUUGAGGGGCAAAGGCCCUCUUGGCUCUUCCAGGACAGAAGGCUCACCUGUGUUGUCUCCACUCUCACAGGGGCUCACAAGCUCUGCUGCCCCCACUGUUCCUAGGAAGGACAAAGCAUAGCUAAUAAAACAAUGCACACAGGAUCAUUACUUGGACAAAGGUCCAGCAACAAGCGUGACCAGAUAGGCCAUGUCCUGGUAAGUUUUGUCUAGGCUAUGACCUAAAGACCAUUAAUAUAUAGCCAGACACUCUAAAUGGCCAACAACCUAGGACCAAAUUUACAGCAAAGAUAAAAUAACAUUCAAAUCUGACAUGACCAUUACAGUAGGCAGUCUGCUGUUUUCAUAUAUGGACAUGAACUGGUACUAUUUCUAUAACAUCAAAUUCUAAGGCCACCUGAAAUCAAAGGUGGUUCUAGAACAGGAAAAUAUAGUGUUUAGAAGUCUUGAACCACAUUCAUUGCCCAGGUCUCUGACAUUUUGAAGCAAUCUUUAAAGAAGGAAGAAAAAACUUUUCAUUGCUGCCAAGAACUGUCCCAAUCAGAUUCUCCCACUGUACCUUAGGCUCUUACCAGAACAAUGCCAAAUACUUGGUGAUAGAGUCUUGACGUGGAGGUGAAGCCACACAAAGUACCCCACCUCAACACCCAGCUGUCAACACCUGGGAAGUUAAGUGAGCCACCAUUCCAGAACACCCAUGCUAAGAUGUGCCCCAGUAAGUCCUCCAAAAGGAAACGGAUACCUACUGACGCCGAGUCAGGCUCAUUAGGAGGCUAAGAUGACGGCAGGUCAUGCAUGACCUGAAAUAAAGCCAGGAUCAGGAACGGUCAGGCAGUGAUACUGUGUGUAUGCACUGGACUACAGGGUCAGUCAAGCCUACCUAAAUCUGAGAUCUGGCUUAUUCUGUCACAUUGAGAAAGUUACCUAGCUUUUCUGUCUUAGACUCUGCAAAACAUAUAGAAAGUGAAUUCUAGCACACAUGCUUUAAGAGAGUAUAUAAGGGAACAUGAGUGAAAAUAUUUAGGUUUCAUGACUAGCCCAGUAAAUAUUUAAUAAAGGCUAGCUAUUACUGUUUUUAGAUAACCUUAAAUACACGGCAGUGGUAUUAGGUGGGUAAGCAGAUGACAUAACUCCAACAGGAAAAACAAAGAUCUGAUGCUGGGGAAAGGGAAGGGCUAGCCUGAGAGACCCCUAUUCAACAGAGACAGGAUUUUACUUCUGCCUACAGGAGCCACCAUGGCCAGGUCACCACAGACACUUGAACAGCUAACUGAAUUUUCUUCAUAAUGAAUAGGAGUGACUGAAAGGGAUGGACAGGGGAAAGGGAAGAUGCAGGCUGAAGCACAACCUUUCUAUAGGAAGCUUGAGAAAGGGUAAGCACAAGAUGGGGGGGGGGGGGGCGCGG